AGAAAAGAGUCUCAUUUGGAAAAGAAACUUUUCACGUGAAACAGAGAAGCGAUUGAGAAAGUGGAGAAAGGGCAAGAGGAAGAGCUAGAGAGCAAGGGUUGGAGAACGGAAAAAGCUUGAAGCUCAAAGUUGCCGGAUUAACUCAGGUAAGGGGGGUUUAUCGUCGUUUAAUGGGUAUUAUGGGUUAGCAUGUAAUGGGUAGUGAUAAACCGUUGAAUUGACCCUAAUUGGGAUUUGUUGAAUGCUG
rnacentral:lncRNA from 1 species